ACUCCUACGGGAGGCAGCAGUGGGGAAUAUUGCACAAUGGGCGCAAGCCUGAUGCAGCCAUGCCGCGUGUGUGAAGAAGGCCUUCGGGUUGUAAAGCACUUUCAGCAGUGAGGAAGGCGGAGUCGUUAAUAGCGGCCUCGUUUGACGUUAGCUGCAGAAGAAGCACCGGCUAACUCCGUGCCAGCAGCCGCGGUAAUACGGAGGGUGCGAGCGUUAAUCGGAAUUACUGGGCGUAAAGCGCAUGCAGGUGGUUUGUUAAGUCAGAUGUGAAAGCCCGGGGCUCAACCUCGGAAUAGCAUUUGAAACUGGCAGACUAGAGUACUGUAGAGGGGGGUAGAAUUUCAGGUGUAGCGGUGAAAUGCGUAGAGAUCUGAAGGAAUACCGGUGGCGAAGGCGGCCCCCUGGACAGAUACUGACACUCAGAUGCGAAAGCGUGGGGAGCAAACAGGAUUAGAUACCCUGGUAGGCUACCG
rnacentral:rRNA from 1 species